rnacentral:tRNA from 1 species
GCGGAGGUCGCCAAGCCCGGUUAGGCAAUCGGCUGCAGACCGAUUAACGGGAGUUCAAAUCUCUCCCUCCGCU